AACGAACGCUGGCGGCAGGCCUAACACAUGCAAGUCGAACGCUCCGCAAGGGGAGUGGCAGACGGGUGAGUAACACGUGGGAACCUACCUCGAGGUGCGGAACAACCAAGGGAAACUUUGGCUAAUACCGCAUGUGCCCUUAGGGGGAAAGAUUUAUCGCCUUGGGAUGGGCCCGCGUCGGAUUAGCUAGUUGGUGUGGUAAUGGCGCACCAAGGCGACGAUCCGUAGCUGGUCUGAGAGGAUGAUCAGCCACACUGGGACUGAGACACGGCCCAGACUCCUACGGGAGGCAGCAGUGGGGAAUAUUGGACAAUGGGCGCAAGCCUGAUCCAGCCAUGCCGCGUGUGUGAUGAAGGCCUUAGGGUUGUAAAGCACUUUCGCCGAUGAAGAUAAUGACUGUAGUCGGAGAAGAAGCCCCGGCUAACUUCGUG
rnacentral:rRNA from 1 species